GGCGGUGUAGCUCAGUGGUAGAGCAUGCGGCUCAUAACCGCAGUGUCCCCGGUUCAAAUCCGGGCACCGCUACCA
rnacentral:tRNA from 2 species